rnacentral:rRNA from 1 species
AUGAACGCUGGCGGCGUGCUUAACACAUGCAAGUCGAACGAAGCAUUUAGAACAGAUUAUUUCGGUAUGAAGUUCUUUAUGACUGAGUGGCGGACGGGUGAGUAACGCGUGGGUAACCUGCCUUGUACUGGGGGAUAGCAGCUGGAAACGGCUGGUAAUACCGCAUAAGCGCACAAUGUUGCAUGACAUGGUGUGAAAAACUCCGGUGGUAUAAGAUGGACCCGCGUCUGAUUAGCUAGUUGGUGAGAUAACAGCCCACCAAGGCGACGAUCAGUAGCCGACCUGAGAGGGUGACCGGCCACAUUGGGACUGAGACACGGCCCAGACUCCUACGGGAGGCAGCAGUGGGGAAUAUUGCACAAUGGAGGAAACUCUGAUGCAGCGACGCCGCGUGAGUGAAGAAGUAAUUCGUUAUGUAAAGCUCUAUCAGCAGGGAAGAUAGUGACGGUACCUGACUAAGAAGCUCCGGCUAAAUACGUG